UACAGAGGUCCCAAGCGUUGUUCGGAUUCAUUGGGCGUAAAGGGUUCGUAGGCGGUGCGGCAAGUUGGGAGUGAAAUCUCUGGGCUUAACCCAGAGGCUGCUUCCAAAACUGCUGUGCUUGAGUGUGGGAGAGGCGCGUGGAAUUGCAGGUGUAGCGGUGAAAUGCGUAGAUAUCUGCAGGAACACCCGUGGCGAAAGCGGCGCGCUGGACCACUACUGACGCUGAGGAACGAAAGCUAGGGGAGCAAACAGG
rnacentral:rRNA from 1 species